GCUACAUGUAGAUGUCACGGUCCCUCGAAUCGCAAGAUCGGGGGCUAAGAGGGAAGCCGGUGCGGCGCGAGCCAAAGCCGGAGCUGCCCCCGCAACUGUAAGCGGUGAGCCGACGUCCAGCCUUUGUCACUGAGGCCGAAAGCCUCGGGAAGACGGACCGAAGCGACGAUCCGCGAGCCAGGAGACCUGCCGCGACAACAGAACGUCUU
rnacentral:ncRNA from 19 species